rnacentral:rRNA from 1 species
CUACGGGACGCAGCAGUUAGGAAUAAUCUACAAUGCGCGAGAGCGUGAUAGUUUGAGCCAGAGUGCUUUCCAAAUUGGAAAGCUUUUGCCAAAUCUAAAAAGUUUGGCGAAUAAGGACUGGGUAAGACUAGUGCCAGCCGCCGCGGUAAUACUAGCGUGUCCAAGUCGCAGCCAUUAUUAUUGGGUCUAAAACAUCCGUAGCUUGCUUUGUAAGUCCUCUGUGAAAUUCGGCGUCUUAAGCGUCGAGCGAGCAAAAGAUACUGCAAAGCUAGAGACUGGAAGACGUAAGAAGUACGUUUAAAGUAGUGGUAAAAUACUUUAAUCUUAAGCGGACCCACAAUAGCGAAGGCAUCUUACGAGGACAGUUCUGACAGUAAGGGAUGAAGGCCAGGGGCGCAAAACGGAUUAGAUACCCUCGUAGUC